CAGGGUGGAUUUGAGAGGCUCUGUUAACUAACAGCCUUUAAAAACACACUGAGGGACGGCAGGUGAGCAUCCCUGCUGCAACUUGAUGUGGUUAAAGCAAGGUUAGAGGGGGAUGAGGAGCUCCUCUGGGCUCAGGAGCCUCUGACCUGAGCAAAAGUUCCCUCUGCCAGGGCUACAAGGGAUGUGAUGCUGCUGAAGUUUGUUGUUGUAGCACUCACACACCCAGGACUCAGGAAUCAGCUCGAGUCAGGGUCUCACACAGACCUGGUGCAGCUCCUUUUAACCUCCCUGCCUUCCAAAGGAUUCCUUGCCAGCGCUGCCACGUGAACUCAGUUAAUUACAGGGGAGGAAAUUACAGCCCCACAGACUUCACAGAGAAUAUUCGGCACAGGCUUAUUUGUUGCACCUGUCUGUGUCUCCCUAACUCCAGAAAUUAGAGCUGAAAUCCCCGGCUACAUCUGCUUUGGCCAGAGAAGAGCCUCAGUCAAAGGUCCUGGCUGAGGUUGGGACAUCUCCCAGCACAUCUCUGCCUGAGCCUCCAGACAUCUGGGUGAGGCACAAGGGCAGCAGACAAAGACCAAAGGACUUUCUGAGCCUCAUGUUCGGAUGGAGGAGGUAACGAAAGGGAAGCUGUGACCUGGCCCUGAAUCAAAUACUUCACAACAGACAGCAUUAGAAAAUAAAAUAAAUUCCAG
rnacentral:lncRNA from 1 species